rnacentral:rRNA from 1 species
AACAGGAUUAGAUACCCUGGUAGUCCACGCCGUAAACGAUGUCGACUUGGAGGUUGUUCCCUUGAGGAGUGGCUUCCGGAGCUAACGCGUUAAGUCGACCGCCUGGGGAGUACGGCCGCAAGGUUAAAACUCAAAUGGAUUGACGGGGGCCCGCACAAGCGGUGGAGCAUGUGGUUUAAUUCGAUGCAACGCGAAGAACCUUACCUACUCUUGACAUCCACGGAAUUUGGCAGAGAUGCCUUAGUGCCUUCGGGAACCGUGAGACAGGUGCUGCAUGGCUGUCGUCAGCUCGUGUUGUGAAAUGUUGGGUUAAGUCCCGCAACGAGCGCAACCCUUAUCCUUUGUUGCCAGCGAUUCGGUCGGGAACUCAAAGGAGACUGCCGGUGAUAAACCGGAGGAAGGUGGGGAUGACGUCAAGUCAUCAUGGCCCUUACGAGUAGGGCUACACACGUGCUACAAUGGCGCAUACAAAGAGAAGCGACCUCGCGAGAGCAAGCGGACCUCACAAAGUGCGUCGUAGUCCGGAUCGGAGUCUGCAACUCGACUCCGUGAAGUCGGAAUCGCUAGUAAUCGUGGAUCAGAAUGCCACGGUGAAUACGUUCCCGGGCCUUGUACACACCGCCCGUCACACCAUGGGAGUGGGUUGCAAAAGAAGUAGGUAGCUUAACCUUCGGGAGGGCGCUUACCACUUUGUGAUUCAUGACUGGGGUGAAGUCGUAACAAGGUAACC